GGCACAUACUGGAGCUUUCUAUCGGCGUUCAUCUUACAACAAGGACAAAGUCAACCACGUGACGUGUGAUUUACCUGCGACCGGAGUUCCGGUGUGACGUCAAUACUCUCUUUUCCUGGGAACGGCUCCACAAUGUCGUAAAUGUUUAUCCAAGACUGGGCCCACAUGUUGCCUGCAUCCGGAAUUAGCAAAUAUAUAUACGAUUACCGAUCUCUAUCAGGAAAAAACAUCAACAAGAACUACGAACUAGUAUACUAUAUGAGCCGUGUUCUGAGAAAACUGGGCAUAAUGCAUGUGCGUAAAGUGCUGUCCCAGAUUAGCCUGUGCAAACCGCACAGGCUAAUCAGGGACGACACUUUCCACUUUUAUGACAUUUUUCGUUAAAAUGAAGUCUCUUCUUAGCAAAAAUCCAAUUUUGGCGGAAACAAUCUUCCCUGAUUAGCCUGUGCGGACUGCACAGGCUAAUCUGGGACGACACUUUACGCACAUGAAUUAUUCCAAGUUUUCUCAGAACGCGACUCAUAUAAUGCCAAGGAAAUUUGCCUCUCAGAACAGAAAUACAAACACGUGCGUGACACGUAACGUACCGAGCAGAUGUGCCUGAAUGUGACCGGAGUCUGGAAAGUAUCUGUCGUUGUACACCUUGCGCAGCUUUCGGCGCACGUAGGCGUGCAGGUUCUCAUACAGGGAUCGUAACUCGUCCAGGAGAGCCAGAAGGUCCUUCUCGAAGUUGGGCUCCUCAUACCAGGAGCGCCAGUACUCG